rnacentral:lncRNA from 7 species
AUACUGAAUAUGUGCAGAAAUGUGCUCAUGCAGGCUUUGAUGUCUGCAGUAUGUAACAUCAUCUGUUCUCCGAUAAAAUUGUCCUCUGAGCUCAGGACCACAUUUGGGGAUCCUUCUGCCUGCAAUUCUGACUUUGUGCAACAUCUGGGGAGUUUAACAUGUGCUCAGGAGGGCAGCAUGCUAUUAAUUGGACAUUAAGUGGUGGGCCAUGUCUGAGGCCAUUGCACGUUGUAUUAAUUACGGAGUGGCUAAUAACAACCUUCUGCCCCUGGUAUUUAUAGAAUAAUAAAAUCUGUCCCUGACACUGGCCUCACAUCUGGCAAAACUGGCAAACACAUUUUCAUUUACCUCCCUUUCUCAAGCGUGUUAAUAGCUUUCAGAUUUCCAGAGGAACAACUGGAGAUCUUAGAGCAAUACAGACUCAGUGCUAAUGGCUUCAGACUGAAGGCAGAGCUAAGAUUUUCACUUCAAACAGGGCUGGAUCCCCUAUUCCUCCCCUUGCCCUGUGUGACAUGGUGGAUAUGGGCAUGUCGUGCUGGAUGAGAUACUUACAAACACUGCAGUCCUGUUUUGGAAACAUUCCCCUGUGCUAUUACAUCAAAUACAAGCAAGCAUGGCUGUAACCAUUGGUAUUUCCAACCAGUGGGUUUCUGUGGGCUCUGGGACUGCAUCCCUGAGCUGCUGGGUGAUGGGAAAGUUCUGGGAAAAAUGGUUCCAGAGAUGCGUAGGUUAUGUCCGUAAAAUGAAUGAGUAGGGAGGAUUUUCGGGAAGUCACGGGGAAUAAUACAAUGUUAUCAGCCUCUGCUUCCGAAUGUUGCCGACUAUCUUGACCACUUUUGACCUGGAGAAAACAAACCAUGUGAUUUGUGUUUGUAAUCAUAGGGCAGCAGGGAAUAGGUUAAGGAUGGGGAGUCCAUCAAGGGGCAGGAGAAUGCCUUGUUUCCCAGGAGACUGCUAAAUAAUGCCUGAUCUGUCCACACACACAAGUGGAAGGAUGUUCCCGCAUCUUCCCCCUCUCGUCCCUCAAAAAAACUGCUGUUCUCUGAGAUAGAGCCCCAGCUUGUCUCUGUCUCAGCCCCACAUGAGCCCCUCUAAGUGGAGGAAGUUAUAUCACCCUCCAGGAAUUGCUCUCCGAAUGCGAUGCGAUGAAGGUAUGUGCCGCUUGUAAUCAUCUCUGGAGGCAAGCCAACGUCUCCCGCGCUAUCAAAGGCUCUCUGUCAGGCUCUUCUGCCUCUUGCCUUAUCGUGGGUCAGGAGGGCAUGAUGUCAUUCAGGCAGCAGAGCAGGAGCCAUGGAAAAAUCCAGUGUUACAAUAAUCCCAUCGUCUCUCCAUCAAAAGGCAGUGGUCUCAGGCAAAGAACUUCCCAUGGCUGUGUGGAUGGUUUGGUUAUUGGACAAGAGGCCAGAAAUAGCUUCCCUGGUGCUGCCUGUGAGUGGGAAAGUCACCCAAGUGGGGUGCUGGGACUGAAGGGGAAAUGCAGCCCCAGGUUUCCGUGUGUGCUGUCUUUGGUC